ACGGUAGGCGGGACCGCCGCAGUGGUGGCCGGUGGGCGCCUGCCCCUCCCCACCCUCCCUCCGCCUGGCGGCGGUGACAUCACAGCUCUGGCGGGAGGGGCGGCGGCACCCCAGCACAUCACUUCCUCGGCGUCUCCCGCGGACGCGCGGACAGGCGGACGGACGCGCGGACAGGCGGGCAGAUCGGCAGGCGGACGGCCGCAGAGCGGGGCGGUGCUCCUGCUCGGCGCGUCCCCGACUCAUGGCGAGCCCGGCCCCGCCCGUGGCCGAGGAGCUCCCGGGCCCGGCCUCCAGGCGCCUCUACUCCAGGAUGGAGGCCUCCUGUCUAGAGCUGGCCCUGGAAGGGGAGCGGCUGUGCAAGGCGGGGGACUUCAAGGCAGGUGUGGCUUUCUUCGAGGCUGCUGUGCAGGUGGGCACUGAGGACCUGAAGACACUGAGUGCCAUCUACAGCCAGCUGGGCAAUGCCUACUUCUACCUGAAGGAGUAUGCCCGGGCCCUGCAGUUCCACAAACAUGACUUGCUGCUGGCACGGACCAUUGGUGACCGCAUGGGGGAGGCCAAGGCUAGUGGGAACCUGGGCAACACACUCAAGGUCCUAGGCCGAUUCGAUGAGGCAAUCGUCUGCUGCCAACGACACUUGGACAUUGCCCAGGAGCAGGGGGACAAGGUUGGGGAGGCGAGAGCACUCUACAACAUUGGAAAUGUGUACCACGCCAAGGGCAAACAGCUUUCCUGGAAUGCUGCACAGGACCCCGGGCACCUGCCACCUGAUGUCCGCGAGACACUGCACAGGGCCUCUGAGUUUUAUGAGAGGAACCUGUCUUUGGUGAAGGAACUAGGCGACCGGGCGGCCCAGGGCAGGGCCUAUGGCAACCUGGGUAACACCCACUACCUACUGGGAAACUUCACGGAGGCCACAACCUUCCACAAAGAGCGCCUGGCCAUCGCCAAGGAGUUUGGGGACAAGGCAGCUGAGCGGAGGGCCUACAGCAACCUGGGCAAUGCUCACAUCUUCUUGGGGCGCUUUGAUGUGGCUGCUGAACAUUACAAGAAGACGCUGCAGCUGUCUCGGCAGCUCCGGGACCAGGCAGUGGAGGCUCAGGCUUGCUACAGCCUGGGCAACACCUACACACUGCUACAGGACUACGAGCGUGCUGCUGAGUACCACCUGCGGCACCUAGUCAUUGCCCAGGAGCUGGCUGAUAGGGUGGGAGAGGGCCGAGCAUGCUGGAGCCUGGGGAACGCCUAUGUGUCCAUGGGGAGCCCUGCACAGGCCUUGACCUUUGCCAAGAAACAUCUGCAGAUCUCCCAGGAGAUUGGAGACCGAAACGGAGAACUGACAGCCCGCAUGAAUAUUGCCCACCUGCAGCUGGCCCUGGGCCGGCUGACUAGCCCAGCAGCAGCGGAGAAGCCAGAUCUGGCUGGCUAUGAGGCACAAGGAGCAAGACCCAAACGGACACAGAGGCUGAGUGCCGAGACCUGGGACCUGCUGCGGCUCCCCCUGGACCGGGAGCAGAAUGGAGAGACCCACCACACAGGGGACUGGAGGGGUCCAGGCAGGGACUCGCUUCCCCUCCCCAUGAGGAGCAGGAAGUACCAGGAAGGUCCAGAUGCCAUUGAGAGGAGACCCCGGGAGGGUAGUCACUCUCCACUGGACAGUGCUGAUGUAAGGGUACAGGUGCCUCGUACGGUAGGUGCCUCCUGAGUUGAGGGGACAUUUGUGACCAUGACCACGAAGGCCUUUCUUCCCUCUCUGCCUAUCCAGCCUGGAAGCAAGGCAGGGCUGAGCUGGAGACUAAGGGAGGCAGAGCUGUAAACUGCUGGGCCUUCUACCUGGCCUUGUGCAUCCAGGUACUCUGAGGGCACAGAGCUCAUAACUGUUAGGUGCACCUCAGGGAGCCCUCAUAGACACUCCCAAGUCAGCCUUGCUGCAGGUAGGUUCUGUCUCUUUGUGGGACUUGAUUUCCACCUUUGUCACUAGUCUUCAGGCAACCUCUGUGUCCCAGGCCCCUUCGUUGCCUUACUGGGACCUUUGAGACCUGGCUGCCCAGGCUGAGGAGCUGAGCUACACAGCUUACUCCAGGUACACUCUCCGCACCUCAGGGGUUGCUUUUGAGGUUCCAGAGUGGCUGGGUACAGGCCCAAACUCAAGGCACCCAGGCAGGGAUACCAGUUUGGGAGUUCCUUGGCCUCAAACCUAAGAAGUGGUACAGCCAGCAACCCCAUAAUGUGCCUCAGAGUCUGAGAAGCCUCCUGGGGAGUCUCCUAAGUUGCAAAGUGGUGGCCCUGAGCUGAGGGAUGUGAGGGAUGGCUGGAGAAGGAUGGGAAGGCCCCAAGUUUGCCCACAGGGCAGGUGCUAAGGGAAAAGAGGGGGCACAUGCUCCACCCAUGGGGAAUGGCAUCAUGUGGAGGGCAUGCUGGGUGGCAGUGCACACUGUUAACCCAGUACGGAAAGGACAGCAGAGAGCUAGCAUCUGCCCAGUGUUCUGAAAGGUUUUUGCAGGGAGGUGCCACCUACUCUUCCUGGGCAUCCUGAUGGACUGCAGACCUGGUAGGAGGUUGGUGUGGCCCAGCAGGGACCCACGGCAUAGCCUGGAAGCUCAGACUUCCUGGAGGCACUCAGCUUUCCUGAAAUAGUAGGCUGAGUAGCUCAGUGGCCAGAUAAAAGACUGGUAGCCAGUGGGUGGAGGGUGGGGCCUGCCAGAGAUCCAGAGAAAGAGUCUGUAUUUAGGCUUAAGAGUCUCUGUGUAGGACACUCAAGUCCUGAGGCUCUAGGAAGUAGCAUGUAACACCCUCUCACUGCCACAGUCUCAGGUGGCCUGUGCUGCAUAAGCCUUGGUUAUUCUUAGUGCCUGGAGCCCACCCUUCCUGCCAGGGCGGCCGCCUCCAAUUCCAGUCCAGCCCACUCUACUCCUAUCACAAGGAGCUAGGAAGGGAACACAUAGUCUCUUAUCCCUGAGCUCAGAGGAAGGUUGUGGUAGAGCCAAGAGGCCACCCUGCCAAUGUCAAGGGCUACCCAGGUCAGAAUGGGAGUCAGUCUGGGGUGGCCUCAGAAGCAAACCUGAGAGAAGAGACUGGUUCUCUAGGGGCCUAGCUUUAGCUUUGGAAGGACGCCCAGGGGCCCAGGGGUUGGGUGGGAAAGGGCUUUCAAAUAAGCUGUCCACCCCCACAGCCUUUAGCAUGCCCACCCACAGGCCUCAAGGGGUGUGCUCUGUUGAGCUGGGGGAAGCCAGCUCAGUGUUUACAGAGUGAGGGUGUGUGUGUGUGUGUGUGUGUCUAUGUGCAUGCGCGCGCAUUCAAGCACUUGUGAGCUGCAGCAGCGAGGGCGGGUAUUGGGAGAGCCCAGCCUUCUCCCUAGCUCCUAUUUAAGCAUCAGGCGAAGACCGUGAGUCCCAGGAACGGUGAGGAGGCACUUGGCACUUGGGACAGGUGGUAGCAGCUGUGCCUGACACCUUGGCAUCCUGCCUGGGCUACACGUGGCCUAACACCCACACAGUUCCUGAUUGCUGCGACUGGAGGGAACCUGUGAUCCUGCUGGUAUUCCCAGGGCCCCGUCUUCUGACGAGGAGUGUUUCUUUGACCUGCUGAGUAAGUUCCAGAGCAGUCGCAUGGAUGACCAGCGCUGUCCCCUGGAGGAAGGCCAGGCUGGGGCUGCUGAGGCCACAGCUGCCCCAUCCGUGGAGGAUAGAGCAGCUCAGUCCUCCGUGACAGCUUCACCACAGACAGAGGAGUUCUUUGACCUCAUUGCCAGCUCCCAGAGCCGCCGGCUGGACGACCAGAGGGCUAGCGUAGGCAGCCUGCCUGGGCUACGCAUCACCCUCAACAAUGUGGGGCACCUCCGAGGCGACGGGGACGCCCAGGAGCCGGGGGAUGAGUUUUUCAACAUGCUUAUCAAAUACCAGUCCUCCAGGAUUGAUGACCAGCGCUGCCCACCCCCUGAUGUGCUGCCCCGUGGCCCUACCAUGCCUGAUGAGGAUUUCUUCAGCCUUAUCCAGAGGGUGCAGGCUAAGCGGAUGGAUGAGCAGCGUGUGGACCUUGCUGGGAGUCCAGAGCAAGAGGCCAGUGGGCUGCCUGAUCCCCAGCAGCAGUGUCCACCGGGUGCCAGCUAAGGCCUCGCCCCUACAGCCAGCCAUACCCUACUCUGGACUCUGUAGGCUCACGGUUGUCCACAGUGGCCAUGAUCCCCCAAUAAGCCAAAUCUUCCCAAGGCCAUGAUGGACAGCCAGCUCAGCCCCAGCCCCUUCCCACUGAGCCAGAUGGUGGGUGCACAAGGCCCCCCCAUCCCAGGUGGUGGGUGCAGGCUAGAGCUGCUAUAUGGGGGAGGGCAUGCUUCUGUCCCCAUGGAUCUCCACAGCUUCCUGCAGGCCUGCCCUGCCCUGCCCUAGGCCGGGCCUUCAGCAUGUUGGCCCCGAGCCCCGGUGCUGUCCAGAGUCUUUUCCCUCAAGCCCUGCCCUGCCAAAUGUGAAACUCUGCCAACUCUCCCAAGGCCCCCAGAGGGGCUUCAAGGACUUCUUCUGGUGGGGGCUACAGUGCUAAGGCAUCUUCUGUCCCCCAGCUGGUCCUGGGAUGGCUAUGAAGGAGGUACACUCUGAUCUGCCUCACGACCCCAGGGCAGGCACUAUCCUGGCCUGGCUGUGCCCAACCCUGCUGAGGGAGAUUGGCAGCUACAAAGUCCAGACACCCUGACCUGGUAGUCCCCAGCCUUGCACUUGGCCUUUGAGGAAAGAUGGAGCUUGCCCCUGGCAGAGGGGAGAGGCAGGUCUCCAAGCAUAGGGUCUUGUACUAGGAGUGCUGAGCUCUGGCUGGUAGUGGACGUUCAUGAGGGAUCCUCUCAACUAGAUCCUUCAGUCCUCUUAGUGAGCAUCUACCUUCUAUUACUAGGGAGAUGAUAUCUUGGCUUUCUCCCCAAGGAGGGGUCCAUAUCUUAAUUGGACACAGGGCACUGUAGUUGGGGUGGAGACUCAGCCAGAACUGCCGGGGCAUCCAUGAGACAGACCCUUCGGGACCGUGGUCCUAGUUCUUGCCUACAAGUCCUAUAGGUAGCCCUACUGGAGGGCUCUGUACAACUGUCUAACCCAGGGCCUCUUACCCAGAGGGCCAGGGCAAGGGAAACUGAGGACCCAACUUCUGAGAGGGAGAGGCAACAUCACUCUGAGAGCAGAAACAGAUACUAGAGCACAGGGUCUCGGGCGGGACAUGGUGGCCGCCCCGCAUACUUGAAUGUACAUGCGUAUUUAUUGCUUACAUGUGUUUGCCAUGUUGUUCAUGGGUCCUUUCUGACCCGAGAGGUACAUUUGUUUUGUUUUACCCAAAAAUAAAAGUCUGCCAAGUGA